rnacentral:lncRNA from 1 species
AAGCAUGAAACCUCCCCAAAAGACAAUUCCUGCCCACAGAGCUGCUGUCCUUUCCUAAGAUGUCAAGCAAGGGGUGGAUUUCAUUGCAGACGUGUAAACAGCUUAAAGAGAGCCAUGCUUCAGAGCCUGUUGUUCACCUGGAAGCUGCCAUGGAUGUACUUGGCUGUGUAUAGCAACACUGGACAGUGUUUUCUUUCCCUGAAGAUGGAGAUUGGAUCACCAUUUUAGCCAGGAGAUGUGGUAUCCUUGCAGACUGUCUACAUUAUUUAGGAUUGAAGUGUGCUGCUCUCCCUAACUAUGCUGUUUAUUGACA